GGGAGGGCUCGAUUUCGAAACUGGGGAAACCCAGUGCACGAAGCAGGAGAUUGGAAACUUCUCAGCGGGAGCCUUGAAAUGGGGUCGCGAUGUGGGGGGACACCCCCGUGCCGGACGGGUGUUCUCUGGUGUUGUAAUAUGGCGCUGAGGAGGGAUAAGGGGGGGGGGGGCGCAACAGGAUUUUAUACCCUUUGUAGUGCCCCCCCCAAACGAUGAGUGUUAAAAUGUUAGGGUGUUUUCGCCCCUUAGUGGGGGGAGGUAACGCAUUAAGCCCUCCGCCUGGGGAGUACGGUUGCAAGGCUGAAACUCAAAGGAAAUGACGGGGGCCCGCACAAGCGGUGGAUCAUGUGGUUUAAUUUGAAGCAACGCGAAGAACCUUACCAGGUCGUGACAUCCUUUGACAAUCCUAGAGAUAGGACGUCCCCUUCGGGGGCAGAGUGACAGGUGGUGCAUGGUUGUCGUCAGCUUGUGUUGUGAGAUGUUGGGUUAAGUCCCGCAACGAGCGCAACCCUUGAUUUUAGUUGCCAGCAUUCAGUUGGGCACUUUAAGGUGACUGCCGGUGACAAACCGGAGGAAGGUGGGGAUGACGUCAAAUCAUCAUGCCCCUUAUGACCUGGGCUACACACGUGCUACAAUGGACAGAACAAAGGGCAGCGAAACCGCGAGGUUAAGCCAAUCCCACAAAUCUGUUUUCAGUUUGGAUCGCAGUUUGCAAAUUGACUGCCUGAAGCUGGAAUCGCUAGUAAUCGCGGAUCAGCAUGCCGCGGUGAAUACGUUUCCGGGCCUUGUACCCCCCCCCCGUCACCCCCCGAGAGUUUGUAACCCCCGAAGUCGGUGAGGUAACCUUUUAGGAGCCAGCCGCC
rnacentral:rRNA from 1 species